ensembl:lncRNA
CGUUACUCGGCUCACAGGACUUGCCCGUAAAUGAACUCAUUUUUCAUCCUGUCUCUCUCCCUCCUCCCUCUCCUGUUAAUGACUGGCACUUUCCUCGUACGGAGCGCCGGCCCUCUGAAGAGCCUGGCGAGUGACAGAGCACCAUUCAUCUCCUCAUGGCGGAGGACAGUAGGGGGGGCCCGCUGAGCCACGAUGAGACACAGAAUAUUCUACCAGGAGUUGGUGGGCCGUGUCAGAGGGAAAGAGUAAACCCCAGGAGCAUGAGGGGACAGGAAAGCGGUAUCAAUCACACAACCUUGUGCACGGCUGUAGCAGCAGUUUCAAUUAUGCAUCUGUUCCUCAGUGGCUGACAUUUUGUUCAACCUCUUACCCCCACCGAGGCAGAGAGGAAGUGCCCUGCCUGUUAUCUUCCCCCAAGUGCUUAAUUUAACUGUUAAAGCAUACCUGUCGCCAUUUACCUUAACUUUACAGUAUAUACUAUCUGCACAGACGGAACGUGAGCUUAAUCAUUGUCUGCAAAAGCUCAAUCACAGUUGCAGCCUAUGGCUACAACCAGCACUUGGCAGCAACUCAUGAUUUUCAC